rnacentral:rRNA from 1 species
GAUGAACGCUAGCUACAGGCUUAACACAUGCAAGUCGAGGGGUAACGAGAGGAAAGCUUGCUUUCCCUGUCGACGACCGGCGCACGGGUGAGUAACGCGUAUCCAACCUGCCCCCAACUAGGGAAUAACCUUGCGAAAGUAAGACUAAUACCCUAUAAUUUCCUCAGAUGUCAUCUGACGAGGAAUAAAGAUUUAUCGGUUGUGGAUGGGUGUGCGUCUGAUUAGCUUGUUGGCGGGGGAACGGCCCACCAAGGCAACGAUCAGUAGGGGUUCUGAGAGGAAGGUCCCCUACAUUGGAACUGAGACACGGUCCAAACUCCUACGGGAGGCAGCAGUGAGGAAUAUUGGUCAAUGGGCGGAAGCCUGAACCAGCCAAGUAGCGUGCAGGAUGACGGCCCUAUGGGUUGUAAACUGCUUUUAUACAGGAAUAAAGUUAGCCACGUGUGGUUAUUUGUAGGUACUGUAUGAAUAAGGACCGGCUAAUUCCGUGCCAGCCGCCGCAGUAA